UACGGAGGGUGCAAGCGUUAUCCGGAUUCACUGGGUUUAAAGGGUGCGUAGGUGGGCAGGUAAGUCAGUGGUGAAAUCUCCGGGCUUAACCCGGAAACUGCCAUUGAUACUAUCUGUCUUGAAUACCGUGGAGGUGAGCGGAAUAUGUCAUGUAGCGGUGAAAUGCUUAGAUAUGACAUAGAACACCAAUUGCGAAGGCAGCUCACUACGGGGUUAUUGACACUGAGGCACGAAAGCGUGGGGAUCAAACAGGG
rnacentral:rRNA from 1 species